GUCUCCGUAGCUCAGUAGGAUAGAGCGGACGCCUCCUAAGCGUCAGGCCGCAGGUUCGAUUCCUGUCGGGGACGCCA
rnacentral:tRNA from 1 species